UCCAGCUGCCACCUCACUAAACCCAAGCCGUGGAUUCCAGUUAUGUGUUUGCUGGAAAUUGUCCUUACUUGGGCCCUUCCCAAGAGGGUUGAGCGCACAGGGAGGAGGUACUGGGGAUAGAGCCGGGGUUGUUUGUUGAGUUGAGAGCCUGGGGCCACACACAUGUUGAGCAAGGCUCUGCCCUUGAGCUACACAUGCAGCUGUGGGCACUGGGAUUUUACACAGCUGCCCCCUCUACCUUGCUUAGAGUUAUAUCUAACCCUGUGCUAGAAUCCCAGUGCCCUUCCUGGGGUCACCUUGGGAGGCCCUGCACUUACUGUGCCCUCUUUGCUUAAAACUUUUUGGGGAAACUGUGGGGUUUUUUGAAUUACACAAAAUUCUAGUGUGUGAUCCCCACACCCCUGCAGAGAUGCUGUCUCAGGCAUCCUUAGGGUUGAACCACUCAUUC